UCCAAAAAUCGAUGAUCCACCAGAUGCGUCGCUCUUCUGUUAAACCGACGAUAUAUUGGGUUGACAACUUAGUGAUUGCGGAUUUUGUCAAUACCACAUAAUGACAAGUAUAAGCGUUUUCGAGAUCUCAAGGUGACCUUUGUCCCUUUAAAUGGAACUAUAUAUUUUUUCACAGUUAUUCGAUGCAGCUUCUAAUUCUCUACAAAAAAGUAUCUAGCUACUUGUAUCCGAAAAUGGACAGUUUGAAAGAUAUUGCAAUGUUAACUUCGUUGGGUGCAGCGUAUGGGAGACACGGAAAAGGCGAACGUAAGAGCACCAUGUUAUCUUCCCUUGUCAUUCAUACAACGAGUCUUAUGAGACUAAAACUGUAUAAUACUUUUUUGUAGAGAAUUAAAAACUGCAUCGAACGGUGUAUAAAAAAGUGCAUGGUUUCCUUUAGAAGACCGAGGAUCAGCUUGAAAUCUCGAAGGCACGUCCACCUCCAUAAGAUUUGCGACCUUCGCGAGAUGUCGCCCUCGAAACGAAGCAAAUUCUGUUCGAAACGCUUCUUCAGCCUCUAGAUUCGGAAUAUUUCAUUGUUUUAAAUAUUUCUUGGUAUGGUUCAUUGAAAAACACUGCAUGGCAAGCGAUAUUUGGAAUAGUUCCUUAGAUAUUUCAUAUAACAGAAAUAUAACACUUUCGUAUAUUAUAGCAUCCUAUCUAAAAAAGGAAAUUUUUUUAGAGAUAAUUACGAAUGUUUUAAUUUGGAAAGUGAAGGUGAAUUUCAAAUAGGUUAAUAUCGAGUAAUUAGAGAAAUAAUUGACCAACUGAUUUUAUUGUUCGUAAGGAGAGAGGAAAGAAGUACGUCGUUAAAUGAGAUGCGUUUUAAACUACAAAAGUGUACGUAUAUAUAUGUGUAUAAUACUAAUACAAGGAUACAGAGAAUAUUAAUAUUCGAUCACGCUGCGAUCAAUCGACAUGAAUCUUCCACUUGAUAUGAAAAAUUGCCUUGUUUCUAUAAGAAGAAAAUUACCCUCGCGGAACAUGUUACACGUUAAAACGUCAAUUUUACCGAUUACAUAAUUACCGAGAAUCACCAACUAUCGUGCUCCUUGUCGUGUAAGGUACAAAAUA
rnacentral:misc_RNA from 1 species